UACGGGGGGAGCAAGCGUUGUUCGGAAUUACUGGGCGUAAAGGGCGCGUAGGCGGCCCUCUAAGUCAGACGUGAAAUCCCCCGGCUCAACCUGGGAACUGCGUCUGAUACUGGGGGGCUUGAGUAUGGGAGAGGGAUGUAGAAUUCCAGGUGUAGCGGUGAAAUGCGUAGAUAUCUGGAGGAAUACCGGUGGCGAAGGCGGCAUCCUGGACCAUUACUGACGCUGAGGCGCGAAAGCUAGGGGAGCAAACGGG
rnacentral:rRNA from 1 species